rnacentral:rRNA from 1 species
CCUACGGGAGGCAGCAGUGAGGAAUAUUGGUCAAUGGGCGAGAGCCUGAACCAGCCAAGUCGCGUGAGGGAGUACUGCCCUAUGGGUUGUAAACCUCUUUUGUCGGGGAGCAAAAGCCGGACGUGUCCGGCUGUGAGAGUACCCGAAGAAAAAGCAUCGGCAAACUCCGUUCCAGCAGCCGCGGUAAUACGGAGGAUGCGGGCGUUAUCCGGAUUUUUGGGGGUUAAAGGGUGCGCAGGGGGAUUUUUAAGGACGCGGUCAAAUCGUGGGGCUCAACCCGAUCCAGCCGUUGAAACUGGGGAUCUAGAGUGUGCGAGAGGUAUGCGGAAUGCGUGGUGUAGCGGUGAAAUGCAUAGAUAUCACGCAGAACCCCGAUGGCGAAGGCAGCAUACCGGUGCACAACUGACGCUCAGGCACGAAAGCGUGGGUAUCGAACAGGAUUAGAUACCCGGGUAGUC